rnacentral:rRNA from 1 species
AUUGAACGCUGGCGGCAUGCCUUACACAUGCAAGUCGAACGGUAACGGGCCUUCGGGUGCCGACGAGUGGCGAACGGGUGAGUAAUGCAUCGGAACGUACCUUUCAGUGGGGGAUAACGUAGCGAAAGUUACGCUAAUACCGCAUAUUCUGUGAGCAGGAAAGCAGGGGAUCGCAAGACCUUGCGCUGAUUGAGCGGCCGAUAUCAGAUUAGCUAGUUGGUGAGGUAAAGGCUCACCAAGGCGACGAUCUGUAGCGGGUCUGAGAGGAUGAUCCGCCACACUGGAACUGAGACACGGUCCAGACUCCUACGGGAGGCAGCAGUGGGGAAUUUUGGACAAUGGGCGCAAGCCUGAUCCAGCCAUGCCGCGUGAGUGAAGAAGGCCUCGGUGUAAGCUCUUUGUUGGGUAGAAAGAC